GAGGAAUAUUGGUCAAUGGGCGAGAGCCUGAACCAGCCAAGUAGCGUGCAGGAUGACGGCCCUAUGGGUUGUAAACUGCUUUUGUAUGGGGAUAAAGUCAAUCACGUGUGAUUGUUUGCAGGUACCAUACGAAUAAGGACCGGCUAAUUCCGUGCCAGCAGCCGCGGUAAUACGGAAGGUCCGGGCGUUAUCCGGAUUUAUUGGGUUUAAAGGGAGCGUAGGCUGGAGAUUAAGUGUGUUGUGAAAUGUAGACGCUCAACGUCUGACUUGCAGCGCAUACUGGUUUCCUUGAGUACGCACAACGUUGGCGGAAUUCGUCGUGUAGCGGUGAAAUGCUUAGAUAUGACGAAGAACUCCGAUUGCGAAGGCAGCUGACGGGAGCGCAACUGACGCUGAAGCUCGAAGGUGCGGGUAUCGAACAGGAUUAGAUACCCUGGUAGUCCGCACAGUAAACGAUGGAUGCCCGCUGUUGGUACCUGGUAUCAGCGGCUAAGCGAAAGCGUUAAGCAUCCCACCUGGGGAGUACGCCGGCAACGGUG
rnacentral:rRNA from 1 species